UGAUGGUUGAAUUUUCAGUUGAAGGAGGUGCAUCGUGGAGCUUCCACACAUUCUCUUCCUUUGUAUCCGCCUAAUCUUAUAACUUUUAUGACAUCCACCAAUGGCAUGUGGAAUUGUGUUCAUUGAUGGGGAUUCCAAAGUUUUUUCAACAAGUGACGAGAUUUUGUUUC